GUUGUCUUAGUCGAGUGGUUAAGGUCGAGUGACUACAAAUCUUUUGGGAUCUUCCCGCGCAGGUUCGAACUCUGCCGACAACG
rnacentral:tRNA from 1 species